AAGUCGUAACAAGGUCUCCGUAGGUGAACCUGCGGAGGGAUCAUUACAAGUGACCCCGGUCUUACCACCGGGAUGUUCAUAACCCUUUGUUGUCCGACUCUGUUGCCUCCGGGGCGACCCUGCCUUCGGGCGGGGGCUCCGGGUGGACACUUCAAACUCUUGCGUAACUUUGCAGUCUGAGUAAACUUAAUUAAUAAAUUAAAACUUUUAACAACGGAUCUCUUGGUUCUGGCAUCGAUGAAGAACGCAGCGAAAUGCGAUAAGUAAUGUGAAUUGCAGAAUUCAGUGAAUCAUCGAAUCUUUGAACGCACAUUGCGCCCCCUGGUAUUCCGGGGGGCAUGCCUGUUCGAGCGUCAUUUCACCACUCAAGCCUCGCUUGGUAUUGGGCAACGCGGUCCGCCGCGUGCCUCAAAUCGACCGGCUGGGUCUUCUGUCCCCUAAGCGUUGUGGAAACUAUUCGCUAAAGGGUGUUCGGGAGGCUACGCCGUAAAACAACCCCAUUUCUAAGGUUGACCUCGGAUCAGGUAGGGAUACCCGCUGAACUUAAGCAUAUCAAUAAGCGGAGGAAAAGAAACCAACAGGGAUUGCUCUAGUAACGGCGAGUGAAGCAGCAAUAGCUCAAAUUUGAAAUCUGGCGUCUUCGACGUCCGAGUUGUAAUUUGUAGAGGAUGCUUCUGAGUAAUCACCGACCUAAGUUCCUUGGAACAGGACGUCAUAGAGGGUGAGAAUCCCGUAUGCGGUCGGAAAGGUGCUCUAUACGUAGCUCCUUCGACGAGUCGAGUUGUUUGGGAAUGCAGCUCUAAAUGGGAGGUAAAUUUCUUCUAAAGCUAAAUAUUGGCCAGAGACCGAUAGCGCACAAGUAGAGUGAUCGAAAGAUGAAAAGCACUUUGGAAAGAGAGUUAAAAAGCACGUGAAAUUGUUAAAAGGGAAGGGAUUGCAACCAGACUUGCUCGCGGUGUUCCGCCGGUCUUCUGACCGGUCUACUCGCCGCGUUGCAGGCCAGCAUCGUCUGGUGCCGCUGGAUAAGACUUGAGGAAUGUAGCUCCCUCGGGAGUGUUAUAGCCUCUUGUGAUGCAGCGAGCGCCGGGCGAGGUCCGCGCUUCGGCUAGGAUGCUGGCGUAAUGGUCGUAAUCCGCC
rnacentral:rRNA from 1 species